UACGGAAUGUGCAAACGUUAUUCGGAAUCACUGGGCUUAAAGAGUCCGUAGGCGGCAUGUUAGGUGAGGUGUGAAAUCCCCCGGCUCAACCGAGGAAUUGCGCUUCAAACCGGCGUGCUAGAGGAAGAUAGAGGUGGGCGGAACUGAUGGUGGAGCGGUGAAAUGCGUUGAUAUCUGGAGGAACACCGGUGGCGAAGGCGGCAUCCUGGACCAACACUGACGCUGAGGGAGCGAAAGCCAGGGGAGCAAACGGG
rnacentral:rRNA from 1 species